rnacentral:rRNA from 1 species
UACAGAGGUGGCAAGCGUUGUUCGGAAUUACUAGGCGUAAAGGGCGCGUAGGCGGCCAUCUAAGUCAGACGUGAAAUCCCCCGGCUUAACCUGGGAACUGCGUCUGAUACUGGAAGGCUUGAGUAUGGGAGAGGGAUGUAGAAUUCCAGGUGUAGCGGUGAAAUGCGUAGAUAUCUGGAGGAAUACCGGUGGCGAAGGCGGCAUCCUGGACCAUUACUGACGCUGAGGCGCGAAAGCUAGGGGAGCAAACGGG